UUACGGCCAUAUCACGUUGAAACACCGGUUUCCGUAUGAUCACCCAAGUUGAGCAACAUCGAGCCUAGUCAGUAGCUAGAUGGGUGACCGUUUAAGACUAUCAAGUGCUGUAAG